rnacentral:rRNA from 1 species
GACGGUGAGGGGCGAAGGCUAGGGGAGCGAACGGGAUUAGAUACCCCGGUAGUCCUAGCUGUAAAGCAUGCGGGCCAGGUGUCUGGUGUUCCUUGAGAGCACCAAGUGCCGGAGGGAAGCCGUUAAGCCCGCCGCCUGGGAAGUACGGUCGCAAGGCUGAAACUUAAAGAAAUUGGCGGGGGAGCACUACAAGGGGUGAGACCUGCGGUUCAAUUGGAUUCAACGCCGAAAAAUUCACCAGGGGCGACAGUUGAUUGAAGGCCAGGUUGACGACCUUGCCGGACUAGCUGAGAGGUGGCGCAUGGCCGUCGUCAGCUCGUACCGUGAGGCGUCCUGUCAAGUCAGGUAACGAGCGAGACCCUCGCCCUUAGUUGCCAUCGAUGGGAAGUCGGGCACUCUAGGGGGACCGCUGGCGCUAAGCCAGAGGAAGGAGAGGGCAACGGUAGGUCCGUAUGCCCCGAAUCCCCUGGGCUACACGCGAGUCGCAAUGCGCAGGACAAUGGGAUGCAACCCCGUAAGGGGAAGCCAAUCCCCUAAACCUGCGCUCGGUUCGGAUCGAGGGCUGUAACUCGCCCUCGUGAAGCUGGAAUCCCUAGUAAUCGCGUGCCAACACCGCGCGGUGAAUACGUCCCUGCUCCUUGCACACACCGCCCGUCAAGCCAUUCGAGUGGGGCCWAGAUGAGGUUCGUUCAAGUUGGGUAGACCGAAU